CGGGAUGCGACGGGAUCAUCGCUCGGAGCGCUGCGCCGAACCCAACCCAGGGGCUGCUCCCGGAGCUGCGCGGAGAUCGAGGUGCUCAGGGAGCCGGAGCUCUGCCGGGGACCGGGAGAACGGCGGCGGAAUCUCUUCGUGCAGACGCUGGAUUGCGGCUGGAACCGGCCGGGACACCGGGAACGCCAUGCCAGCCCUGGGAACCCCAAAUCCCGCGGGUGUGCAAAGCCCCCGCAGCCCUCAGCGGGGAGCAGCGCCUGCCUCCCCCCUCCCCGUGUCUGCACAGCCCUGGGGCUCCCGCCUGCCGUGGAACGAGUGGGGCUGGAGCACGGGAGGAUCGGUUUGCCAGGGCCAGGCGUAGUUCCACUCCAACAUCCUCCAGAUCACAGGACAUGUGAAAGAUCUACUGGGGUUGAGAGGGAUCGUAAAAUCGGACUUUCAAGUCCAUAGGAUAUUUCCUGCAGGUGAG